AGAGUUUGAUCCUGGCUCAGGACGAACGCUGGCGGCGUGCCUAAUACAUGCAAGUAGAACGCUGAAGAGAGGAGCUUGCUCUUCUUGGAUGAGUUGCGAACGGGUGAGUAACGCGUAGGUAACCUGCCUUGUAGCGGGGGAUAACUAUUGGAAACGAUAGCUAAUACCGCAUAACAAUGGAUGACACAUGUCAUUUAUUUGAAAGGGGCAAUUGCUCCACUACAAGAUGGACCUGCGUUGUAUUAGCUAGUAGGUGAGGUAAUGGCUCACCUAGGCGACGAUACAUAGCCGACCUGAGAGGGUGAUCGGCCACACUGGGACUGAGACACGGCCCAGACUCCUACGGGAGGCAGCAGUAGGGAAUUUUCGGCAAUGGGGGAAACCCUGACCGAGCAACGCCGCGUGAAGGAAGAAGUAAUUCGUUAUGUAAACUUCUGUCAUAGAGGAAGAACGGUGGAUAUAGGGAAUGAUAUCCAAGUGACGGUACUCUAUAAGAAAGCCACGGCUAACUACGUGCCAGCAGCCGCGGUAAUACGUAGGUGGCGAGCGUUAUCCGGAAUUAUUGGGCGUAAAGAGGGAGCAGGCGGCACUAAGGGUCUGUGGUGAAAGAUCGAAGCUUAACUUCGGUAAGCCAUGGAAACCGUAGAGCUAGAGUGUGUGAGAGGAUCGUGGAAUUCCAUGUGUAGCGGUGAAAUGCGUAGAUAUAUGGAGGAACACCAGUGGCGAAGGCGACGAUCUGGCGCAUAACUGACGCUCAGUCCCGAAAGCGUGGGGAGCAAAUAGGAUUAGAUACCCUAGUAGUCCACGCCGUAAACGAUGAGUACUAAGUGUUGGGUGUCAAAGCUCAGUGCUGCAGUUAACGCAAUAAGUACUCCGCCUGAGUAGUACGUUCGCAAGAAUGAAACUCAAAGGAAUUGACGGGGGCCCGCACAAGCGGUGGAGCAUGUGGUUUAAUUCGAAGCAACGCGAAGAACCUUA
rnacentral:rRNA from 1 species